GAAAGUGAAAGUCUUCCUCCGCCUUAAAGGAUUGAGUUCAGUGAGUUAGUAGGAGCGGGUUAUGAUUUGAGCCCAGUGCAAGAAAAGCAAAGACUUCAGCUUCCGGGGGAUUUUAGUUUAGGCGCUACAUUUACUUUUGGAUAAUCAUCAAGGGUAGGAUGUUGCAGGAUUGGUGCUGUAGUACGAUCAAUGUGUUGUUCUGAACUGACCUCCAUGUUUGCUGGUUGCUGAUUAGGGCUAUGAGGUGCAGCAGAGAGUAGGAGAGGCGAAUGCUGUGGAGUUUCCGGGGAAGCCCAAAAACUUGCACCCAGAAUGCGCAAGUUGUAAAGUCAUAGCAAUGCAAGGGUGUAUUUGGUACCCAAGGCUUCACAAUAACUAGCUUCUCAGCUGGGACUUCUUCAUCCCAAACAUCAACUUCCUGUUCGGACUAGAGUCGACCAAGUCUGUUGCAGAGCGCAGCAAGACGGGCAUCCUCUGCCUGUCCAGUUUUAUCCAUCAGCAAUCAUGCCGAAGAGAGGAAGCAGAAAGGGUAGGUAGAUUCCGCAUGCAACGCACCGAUGAAAGUGAAACAGAACAGCUCUGCAGUCGGGACCACGCCAAGAUAACGCGAAGGAUUCAGACGAGAACACCAAGAUAACUUCAAACGAUGAAAUUGAAGGGAAUCACCCAGACGGUCAAUAGAGGUGAAGAUGGGCGACAAAAGUGAAAAUUGCACGGUAUGCGUAAGGGGGUUAGGGGUGGGAAUAUGAGAGGCGGAGACUACAAUGAUGAGAUGGGGGUCUCGGUUGGAUGAAACCCAUAGCAAAAUUGGAACGAAGCUCCUGGAAAUUGAGAUGAUGCGAAGGAUUUGAUGGAAAUUGGUGAAGGAACUGAGGGUUUAGAUGAAGAAGAAGUCUACCAGAGGGUAGAGACAAAAA